rnacentral:piRNA from 1 species
UUCCGGCUCGAAGGACUUCGUGCA